UGAUUUGUGAAACACCACAUGAUACAUGUACAGUAAAAUUACAUGUUGAGACAACUUUUUGUGGAAAGACCAAGAAAAACAGAGUAACAUAAUUCUCCAAACCAUGAUGCCGAGCAGCAAUUCAUAGGUACAAAGAGAGGCUCAAAAAUCUUUCCCAAUCUCACCAUAAUAGUAUGAACUUCCACACUGCCAGAUUACAGGUUUAAAACCAAAAUGUAAAUAAACUAUAAGCCGUAUUCUGGUAAAUAAACCCUAAGCCUAAACCUUUCAGUUGUAACCUCACUCCACAUCAACAGACUUAUCUCACCUGUUACAUAAUCAAGAAGACUAGACAAUCUAACUCCACAGAAGAAAUGAAAUGAAAAUAAUUCACAAUCUCAGAAGCGUGCACAAAAACAAACCUGAGGCUUGAUACACUACACUGCAGAAAACAGGUCCAUAUUUCAAUUCAAUAUGAACAGAGAAAUUAAGCUGUGAUAAUUAAUAUGGAGAAAACCUAGAUAGAAAAUAAAUAGUAUACUUCUGCAAACCAAGUUGCAGAUCAUUAGAAGAGGCCACCAAGCUGUCCCAAAAUAUCCAGAAUCUUGUAAUCCACUACAGAAGGUGAAAUUAAGUGUGCCUGACAAGAAAGGAGACUUCUGUGUGCCUGACAAGAAAGGAGACUUCUGUGGUACACCCAACCCUUGUUACACUUAUCUGUGAUUUGUGAAACACCACAUGAUACAUGUACAGUAAAAUUACAUGUUGAGACAACUAUUUGUGGAAAAACCAAGAAAAACAGAGUAACAUAAUUCUCCAAACCAUGUUGCCGAGCAGCAAUACAUAGGUACAAAGAGAGGCUCAAAAAUCUUUCCCAAUCUCUCCAUAAUAGUAUGAACUUCCGCACUGCCAGAUUACAGGUUUAAAACCAAAAUGUAAAAAAUAAACUAUAAGCUGUAUUCUGGUAAAUAAACCCCAAGCCUGUAACCUCACUCCACAUCAACAGACUUAUCUCACCU
rnacentral:lncRNA from 1 species